rnacentral:lncRNA from 1 species
GGAAAAAAAAAGAGCAAUUAUGAAACUUAGUGACCCAAGAAGUGUUUUCGAAUGCCAGGAGUGGAGAUAAACUUUUAGAAGAUUAUGAUAAUAUUGAUUGGUUGCUUCGAGAUCACAAGACACUGAUUCCAGAAGGCUCUGACAUCAUGACCAAGAGAAAAAGGACAAUAUGAAGCUAAACAGAGGCCUAUUGGACCCCUCAACCUUAGUCUAUUACUUUUAGAUCAUACAC